rnacentral:sRNA from 1 species
CAACGGCAGCGUCAAGCGCCGUCAUCUGGUCAAGGCCUGUCCCCCGCCGAACCCAGAUGCAGGACAAAGGCCUAACCCCCCUCUCCGGGCCUUUGUCCAUCAUCAAAAACCGUCAUGGCCCGCCUCCGCCAUGGCGGUUUUUC